rnacentral:RNase_P_RNA from 1 species
GUCGCCGGCCGGAUGGUCGCGAUGUCUGGGCGCAAGUUCAGGCACCGAGGAAAGUCCGGGCUCCACAGGGUAGACUGCCAGGUAACGCCUGGGCGCAUGCGGCGUGAGCUUCGUGCGACGGACAGUGCAACAGAAAGCAAACCGCCGUCUCAUCGGGCAACUGAUGUGGCGGUAAGGGUGAAAGGGUGGGGUAAGAGCCCACCGCGCCUUCGGUAACGAAGGUGGCUCGGUAAACCCCAGUCGGAGCAAGGCCAAAUAAGCGGCGAGAGACGACCCGUCUCGCAAGGACGUCGCAAGACGUCGAGCCGCGGGUAGGCUGCUGGAGCGUGUGGGUGACUGCACGCCGAGAGGAAUGACCGUCCGGUGUUGGUGUACGCUUGCGUAUGUCAGCACUGACAGAACCCGGCUUAUAGGCCGGCGACUUUC